GACGAACGCUGGCGGCGUGCUUAACACAUGCAAGUCGAACGGAAAGGCCCUGCUUUUGUGGGGUGCUCGAGUGGCGAACGGGUGAGUAACACGUGAGUAACCUGCCCUUGACUUUGGGAUAACUUCAGGAAACUGGGGCUAAUACCGGAUAUGAGCUACUGCUGCACGGUGGGGGUUGGAAAGUUUCGGCGGUUGGGGAUGGACUCGCGGCUUAUCGGCCUGAUGGUGGGGUAGUGGGUUACGAAGGCUUUGACGGGUAGGCGGCCUGAGAGGGUGGACGGGCACCAGGGGCCUGAGGGAAGGGCCAGACUCCUACGGGAGGCAGCAGUGGGGAAUAUUGCACAAUGGGCGGAAGCCUGAUGCAGCAACGCCGCGUGCGGGAUGACGGCCUUCGGGUUGUAAACCGCUUUCGCCUGUGAUGAAGCGUGAGUGACGGUAAUGGGUAAAGAAGCACCGGCUAACUACGUG
rnacentral:rRNA from 1 species